UUGUUGCACUGCUGCAAUAAAGAUCUUUUAGUUGCUCUGAGUGUUGUGGUCACUUUCCUUUCAGGAAAGGGCUCAUGAUACCAGCAUUAUCUGUAACAAAGCAAGUGAGAAUUACAUUGAAAAUACAAAUGCAGCAGAAUCUAAAACAUGUCUACAGCAAGCAAGGAUCAACUGAAUCAUGAUAUGAUGCCCAUCAUUACUAAAAUAAGAAGUGUGACAAUUCAAAGUUGUUCCACCACAUCCUCCCACCAUGAUGGACUGCCUCAUCACAGGCCCAAAGGCACAGGACCAGUGGACCAUGAACUGAAAUCUCCAAAACCAUGAGCUAAAAAAACUUUCCUCCUCUUAAGUUGAUUUAUCACAGGCCUUUGGACAUGGAUUGGAACUUAUACCAUUAGCACUGCUAUGUCGGCAACUUGCUAACUGCAGCUCUUGUUGCUUCUCAGCCACCACAAUCAUGUGGGCCAACAUACUUAAUCUCUCUAUAUAUUUGCAUACCUCAAUUGGUUCUGCUUCUCUGGAGAACCCCAGUACAACAAGGUCAUAUUGUUGCAGUAAUCUCCUAUUAGUUCUGUAUCUCUGGAAAACCGUAAUACACAGAUGUGGAGGAACCCCAUGUAAUGUUAUGUGAGGGCAGAGGCAGAAACAAGAGCUGUUGCCACUGACUGGUACAGCAUGGGUGCCAGUAACCACAGAAGCCAAGACAGAAGCAUGGAAGAGAUCUCCCUCAACCUCUAGAA